GGAAACAGGAACAAGGUGGAACAGGGAAGGACCUAUGAAAAGGCAAAACCAGUCCACUCCAGGGGUAUAACUUCAUACAACUGCUUUGUACAGGAAAAUAAAGAGAAGUUAGGUAAAAUGGAAAACUGGUCCACUAGUUGGAAUAGACUCAGCCUUGAUGAUAAAAAGGACUAUCAAGAAAAGGCAAAGGAAAUGAACAGUGAACCAUCAGAACCACUGAGUCAUUCAAAACACCUGUUAAAAAAAAUUUGUAGUUUGAUUAAAGAACUUGCAGAAACUGGAGUGGAGGCAUGUGUGGUGGGGGUUGAUCUCAACCAAAACAUCAUUGAGAUGGGCACACCUAAGAUGUGUAGCUUUCUGAAAGACAACCCUGACCUAGUACAGAAGGUUUACCUUCAUAUUACAAAUGGUAUAUAUA